GAUGAACGCUGGCGGCGUGCCUAACACAUGCAAGUCGAGCGAUUCUCUUCGGAGAAGAGCGGCGGACGGGUGAGUAACGCGUGGGUAACCUGCCCUGUACACACGGAUAACAUACCGAAAGGUAUGCUAAUACGGGAUAAUAUAAGAAAUUCGCAUGUUUUUCUUAUCAAAGCUCCGGCGGUACAGGAUGGACCCGCGUCUGAUUAGCUAGUUGGUGAGGUAAUGGCUCACCAAGGCGACGAUCAGUAGCCGACCUGAGAGGGUGAUCGGCCACAUUGGAACUGAGACACGGUCCAAACUCCUACGGGAGGCAGCAGUGGGGAAUAUUGCACAAUGGGCGAAAGCCUGAUGCAGCAACGCCGCGUGAGCGAUGAAGGCCUUCGGGUCGUAAAGCUCUGUCCUCAAGAAGAUAAUGACGGUACUUGAGGAGGAAGCCCCGGCUAACUACGUGCCAGCCGCCGCGGUAA
rnacentral:rRNA from 1 species